rnacentral:misc_RNA from 1 species
AACGCACAUUGCGCCCUUUGGUAUUCCGAGGGGCACGCCUGUUCGAGCGUCAUUUAAACCAUCAAGCCCUGCUUGGUCUUGGACGCGGUCGAGUGACCGGUCCGUAACCCGUUGGCGGUGCAGUCCGGCUUCAAGCGUAGCAAGAAUUUCGCUUCAGGGGUCCGCGGCGGUGUCUGCCAGGAAAACUACUUCCUAAAGUUUGACCUCGGAUCAGGUGAGGAUACCCGCUGAACUUAA